rnacentral:rRNA from 1 species
UUUAUCAAAAACAUGUCUCUUUGAAUUUUUUAAUAAAGAGUUGGGCCUGCUCGGUGAUUAAUAUUUAACAGCUGCGGUAUUAUAACUGUACUAAGGUAGCAUAAUAAUUUGCUCUAUAAAUUGGGGCUAGAAUGAAUGGUUUGACGAAAAUUUGACUGUCUCUAUUUUAUUUAUUAGAAAUUAAUUUUUGUAGUGAGAAAGCUUAAAUUGUUUAAAGGGACGAAAAGACCCUAUUGAGCUUAUAUUAUUUUAUAAAUUAUAUGAUUGUUGUUUAUUUAGAAUAAUUUUGAUUGGGGUGAUCAAGGAAUAAGAUUGUUUAAAUUAACUUCCUUAAUUAAUUUGUUUUGUGGAAAAAUAAACCAAAUUUUUUGCUUAGAAGAUAAGUUACCAUAGGGAUAACAGCGUAAUUUUUUUUGAGAGUUCAUAUUGAAAAAAGAGAUUGCGACCUCGAUGUUGGAUUAAAUUAACCUUAAGGUGAAGAGGCUUUAUUAGG